CCUACGGGAGGCAGCAGUGGGGAAUAUUGCGCAAUGGGCGAAAGCCUGACGCAGCGACGCCGCGUGAGGGAUGAAGGUCUUCGGAUCGUAAACCUCUGUCAGCAGGGAAGAACGGUCACUGUGCUAAUCAGCAGUGAAUUGACGGUACCUGCAAAGGAAGCACCGGCUAACUCCGUGCCAGCAGCCGCGGUAAUACGGAGGGUGCGAGCGUUAAUCGGAAUUACUGGGCGUAAAGCGCUCGUAGGCGGUAUGUCAAGUCAAGGGGGAAAUCCCCGGGCUCAACGUGGGAACUGCCUUUAAAACUGGCAAACUGGAGUGUGUGAGAGGAUAGUGGAAUUCGAGGUGUAGGAGUGAAAUCCGUAGAUAUCUGGAGGAACAUCAGUGGCGAAGGCGACUAUCUGGCACAUAACUGACGCUGAGGAGCGAAAGCGUGGGUAGCAAACAGGAUUAGAUACCCCAGUAGUC
rnacentral:rRNA from 1 species